UACGGGGGGGGCAAGCGUUGUUCGGAAUUACUGGGCGUAAAGGGCGUGUAGGUGGCCAACUAAGUCCGACGUGAAAUCCCCAGGCUUAACCUGGGAACUGCGUGUGAUACUGGAUGGCUUGAAUCCGGGAGAGGGAUGCAGAAUUCCAGGUGUAGCGGUGAAAUGCGUAGAUAUCUGGAGGAAUACCGGUGGCGAAGGCGGCAUCCUGGACCGGCAUUGACGCUGAUGAGCGAAAGCUAGGGGAGCAAACGGG
rnacentral:rRNA from 1 species